rnacentral:rRNA from 1 species
GAGCGGCGAACGGGUGAGUAACACGUGAGUAACCUGCCCCUGACUCUGGGAUAAGCCCGGGAAACUGGGUCUAAUACCGGAUACGACACCUCCUGGCAUCGGGUGGGUGUGGAAAGUUUUUUCGGUUGGGGAUGGACUCGCGGCCUAUCAGCUUGUUGGUGGGGUAAUGGCCUACCAAGGCGACGACGGGUAGCCGGCCUGAGAGGGCGACCGGCCACACUGGGACUGAGACACGGCCCAGACUCCUACGGGAGGCAGCAGUGGGGAAUAUUGCGCAAUGGGCGAAAGCCUGACGCAGCGACGCCGCGUGGGGGAUGACGGCCUUCGGGUUGUAAACCUCUUUCAGCAGGGACGAAGUUGACGUGUACCUGCAGAAGAAGCGCCGGCUAACUACGUGCCAGCAGCCGCGGUAAUACGUAGGGCGCAAGCGUUGUCCGGAAUUAUUGGGCGUAAAGAGCUCGUAGGUGGCUUGUCACGUCGGGUGUGAAAGCUUGGGGCUUAACUCCAGGUCUGCAUUC